rnacentral:rRNA from 1 species
GAUGAACGCUGGCGGCGUGCUUAACACAUGCAAGUCGAGCGAAGCGCUCUGUCCGGAUUCUUUCGGGAUGACGGACUUAGUGACUGAGCGGCGGACGGGUGAGUAACGCGUGGGUAACCUGCCCACUACAGGGGGAGUAACAGUUAGAAAUGACUGCUAAUACCGCAUAAGACCACAGUACCGCAUGGUACAGGGUAAAAACUACCGGUGGUAUGAGAUGGACCCGCGUCUGAUUAGCUGGUUGGUGGGGUAACGGCCUACCAAGGCGACGAUCAGUAGCCGGCCUGAGAGGGCGACCGG